rnacentral:lncRNA from 1 species
UCUCCCCGGUGACUGUAUUAGCGCAGCGCGCACCGGCUCGGUCUUUCCGUCCCGGGCUUGGUGGCCGACCCACCGGAGCCGAUCCCCACUGCCCAGCCGUGCUGCUGCCUCGGACACAAGCACAGGUUGACAACUACGAGAAAGAAAUUCGUGACUGAAUGGAUCCAAGGUGAAGUAUUACAUGUGGUAACCAGGCUUGCCUGUAUUCCACCUUAGGAUUAGUGUCCAAGCUGAAAUAGGUGAAGUCCAUUUUACAGAUAGAGUGAGGGCCAUGUGAGUUUCCUUGGAUGGCCUUGUAACUGAUUACCCUGAAGGUAGUUUCCUAAAGUUUUUAUCAAUGUACUAGGAUCCUGCCCCACCCCUUCUGCAUGUCUAGCUGUCCUAGAAUCAGAUCCACAUGGCUAUGACAUGCUGGCGGUUUUAAAGAUGCAGACAAACAAGAUUUCAUGCUAGCUCAUUAGAAUGUAUCUGGACUUCAUGCUAGGACAAGUUCUUUGCUAGUAACCAGUCACGUGCUAGCAAUUGAGGUGUGUUGACCUGUAUAUUGUUGCCUAUGAGUAAUUUUCCAUAAUCUUAAAUAAAGCACUUUUCCUGUGUCAAUUCCA